GGCGACAUAGCCAAGUGGUAAGGCAGAGGUCUGCAAACCUUAUUCCCCGGUUCGAAUCCGGGUGUCGCCUCCA
rnacentral:tRNA from 1 species